AAGUGAAAUACAUAUAUAGAGCUGAGGUAUAUACGUCGCAGAGACAGCGAAUGAACAAUAGAAAUAGCUAAGAUAUUAAGAAGUCUAUACAUAGGUAUGAUACAUUGUACAUUAUACGAAAAUUAAGGUUGAUUUAUAAACAUACAUUUGUUAAUUAGAUUAAUAAUUGCAAGGUAACAAAUCGGAGGCAUUAGUUCGCUCAAACCGACCUUCCUUAAAGUGUCUGUAAAUUAGAUUAGGUUUAUUCUUUAGAAAGGCUUAUUGAUACGCAAACUAGAACGAAGAAUUUUAAAAUGGGUUAAAACUAUAUCCUCG
rnacentral:lncRNA from 1 species